CUCUCUCUCUCUCUCUCUCUUUUGAAAUCUGUGGCGGCAUUCGACAACAAAUACCGCCACUGGACGCUAACUUCUACCGGACGACGGUAGCGCAGUGGUUAGCGCCUUAGGUUAGGAACGUUCGGGACCCGGGUUCGAAUCCCCGCGCCCGUAGUCUCCGAUUUUUCUUCCAUGGCACAUAAAUGA